rnacentral:rRNA from 1 species
UACAGAGGUCUCAAGCGUUGUUCGGAUUCAUUGGGCGUAAAGGGCGCGUAGGCGGCCUUCUAAGUCGAACGUGAAAUCCCUGGGCUCAACCCAGGAACUGCGUCCGAUACUGGGAGGCUUGAAUCCGGGAGAGGGAUGCGGAAUUCCAGGUGUAGCGGUGAAAUGCGUAGAUAUCUGGAGGAACACCGGUGGCGAAGGCGGCAUCCUGGACCGGUAUUGACGCUGAGGCGCGAAAGCCAGGGGAGCAAACGGG